rnacentral:lncRNA from 1 species
UUUUUUUUUUUUUUUUUUGCCCUAUAAGAUUGUUUCUAAGAAAACCCAGUCCUUUCGUUCCCCCUUUUGACUUGGAAUGUAGACAAACUUAAACUGAUAAACACUAAUUAGACCUCAUGGAUAUUUUACUUUGUGGACAUAACUGCCUAGUCACAGUUGAAAGCAGAACUUAAAAUGAAAAGACCGGCAGAUAGAAAGAACUUCAGGACUGAAGGAUUUCAGCUUAUGUCUGAUUGAUUCUUAAAGGCUACUUCUUAGUAUAUUCUGUCUCUUUUACGGUGCUAGGGAUUGAAUCUAAGGCUUUGUGCAAGCUAGGCUGAGCUGCGGUCCCGACAUAAAUAGUUUUGACAGUACAGUAAUGUUCCCAUUUUAUAAGUGACUUACUAUGCAGUAAGCAAAAUCAAGUGAGACAAGCACAAGUGACUUUGCUGGGGGAAGGGACAUUCAGACAGUGGCCUGGGAUUCAGUGCUGUGAAUGGUCUCCACUCUAGGAUACGCCAGCAGUCCCUGUUGCCUGUGUGCAAGCUGACACUUGCCAGUACUGCUGAUCCUGAGGUCAUUGAGCCAAGGGGAAAGAACUGGAGGACAGGUCUCUCUGCCUUGUUACUGAACUACCACUAAACUUGUCCUGUGUGAAAGGCAACAUUUAAGCAAGUGUCUUCCCGUAGUUAAUAACCCUAUUUUCUGUUAGCUUGAUGAUGCUUUUGUGGAGAGAUGCAGUUCCCCCAAGAGCUGCCUGGUACAGUCAGUGUAGUAACUUUCCUUUACAGUGUGUGGUGUCUGCGUGACACUGACUUGAGACACUCCCUUUAUUAAAAUAAGUCAUAUGUAAAUGUAAUGUGGGGCAGUUAGGAUGAGGAGCUGAGUGCAGAAAAGGAUGCUGUGAUUGGUUUUAUAGUUAUAGGUCCUUACUGUAGCGAUUCUUGAAGAAAGUUAGCACAUGAGUCCAGCAAGUGUUUCAGUGGCUUUGGUUGCUGUGGGUUUAAGAUGUUCAUUCACGUUUUCUCCAUGGUCUGCAUAGCCAGUAGCCUGAUGAAACUCUGGAAUGGCAGCAGCUGAAACGGGUGACGGUGACGGGCUGGCUUGGGGAAGCCCUCCUUCCCCUCAGGAGGGUUUACACAUUGUUGCAGGGGGCUGUUGCCCUGGGGUUUUCAAGAUGCACCAUUUUAUCUCGUAGUGCUGGGCUUUGACAAACUUCCUCUGUGGGGUACCAUCCUCAUCUCGGUGGGAUGUGCAGUUUUCUGUGCCCUUAUCGUCUGGUUCUUUGUAUGUCCCAGGAUGAAGAGAAAAAUUGAACGUAAGUAAUACAGUUUAAUAGCGUUCCCCUCUCCCUCUACUCCUCUGUUCCCCUCUCUCCCCCUCUCUCCCUAUCAGACUAUUUUAGGAUAGAGGAAGCAUUUGCCUCAGGUACCUUUGCAUACUCAGAUGGCUGUGUGACAGUGUCUAUACACAUACACACUGUGUAAUGCAGACACACUUUUGCACACUAUCCUUGUGCUAGAGCUGUAACAACACAUGAAGAAGUAAACACUCUUAGAAGUAACCUUAAGUCAUUGAAGGCUGUUUUUGCAGUAUAAUUUAAUACCAAGUAAGUUUUAUUUGGUACUAGUCUUUGUGUCUGUUUUAGUCAGUCGUUAAGAUAGUUUAGCAGAGUCCCCUUCUGCCUUUCAGUGUGUGGAAUGUUGGUUUGUGGAUACACAGCAGAACAGGAAUGCAUAGACUGCAGUGGCUUUAGAAGAAUGCUGCGUCAUUGCAGUUCUGAGGAGCCGCCCAGAGCUCUGUGCUCGUCAGCUGUGCGGCACGCACAGUGGGAAUGAAGCUUCCAGGACUCUGACCUCAUUUUUGUCUCAGUCUGGAAGGAGAGACAAACCUCACUUUAAUGCUGUGCUAGUGUGAGGUGUCUGAGCCAGUAGGUGACUGCUGAGCUGGCCGUUAGGCAGAAAUACUGCCUGGCUCCCGGGUAUGCAAGUGUUUAAGCCUGCCGGUUGCAGCUCAGUUGUCUGUACUCAGGACCUAAGAGUUAGGAGAUUCCUUAGGAAGGCUGACUGUUUAGUCAGCUGCCACCCCAGGGCUUGAGCCCCCAUUUCAUGACCAAGAGCUGAAGAUGGUUUUACACUUGU